UUCCCCYCAAACACAACUGUUGGCCUUCAAGCAGCCACCAACAAAGAGUGCGUCAAAGCUCACCAUCAAAAAAUAUCAUAACUACGUGAAUCCCUCCCCACUAACAGGCCAACCUAUUCCUAUAGGAGGAUUAAUGCUGAAAUAAGUAACCUGGGGCCCCCCCUCCCAAGCGCGAACUUACAUCACACAUUAUUACUCACAACAUGAUAUCUACACCCCCACAAGCACACCAUAUCCUUAAACCACUGUUACACCAACCCAGGAGCGCAACAAUAGAAAGAUUUAAAUCUGUAGAAGGAAUUAGGCAAACUCAAGGCCCGACUGUUUACCAAAAACAUAGCCUUCAGCACACCAAGUAUUGAAGGUGAUGCCUGCCCAGUGACACCUCAC
rnacentral:rRNA from 1 species